GAGUUUGAUCAUGGCUCAGGACGAACGCUGGCGGCGUGCUUAACACAUGCAAGUCGAACGGUGAACCCCGCUUGCGGGGGGAUCAGUGGCGAACGGGUGAGUAACACGUGGGCAACCUGCCCCCGGCUCUGGGAUAACCCCAAGAAAUUGGGGCUAAUACCGGAUAUGACCGCUGGCCGCAUGGUCUGGUGGUGGAAAGAUUUAUCGGCUGGGGAUGGGCCCGCGGCCUAUCAGCUUGUUGGUGGGGUAGUGGCCUACCAAGGCGACGACGGGUAGCCGGCCUGAGAGGGUGACCGGCCACACUGGGACUGAGACACGGCCCAGACUCCUACGGGAGGCAGCAGUGGGGAAUAUUGCGCAAUGGGCGGAAGCCUGACGCGGCGACGCCGCGUGGGGGA
rnacentral:rRNA from 1 species